UCAGAUCACGCGUGUAGCAGGAACACGCUCACGGCGGUCAGAUCACGCGUGUAGCAGGAACACGCUCACGACGGUCAGAUCACGCGUAUAGCAGGAACACGCUCGCGGAGGUCAGAUCACG